rnacentral:rRNA from 1 species
AACGAACGCUGGCGGCAGGCUUAACACAUGCAAGUCGAACGCACCUUUCGGGGUGAGUGGCAGACGGGUGAGUAACGCGUGGGAAUCUACCCUUCUCUACGGGAUAGCUCCGGGAAACUGGAAUUAAUACCGUAUACGUCCUGAGGGAGAAAGAUUUAUCGGGGAAGGAUGAGCCCGCGUUGGAUUAGCUAGUUGGUGGGGUAAAGGCCUACCAAGGCGACGAUCCAUAGCUGGUCUAAGAGGAUGAUCAGCCACAUUGGACUGAGACACGGCCCAAACUCCUACGGGAGGCAGCAGUGGGGAAUAUUGGACAAUGGGCGCAAGCCUGAUCCAGCCAUGCCGCGUGAGUGAUGAAGGCCCUAGGGUUGUAAAGCUCUUUCAGUGGGGACGAUAAUGACGGUACCCACAGAAGAAGCCCCGGCUAACUUCGUG